GACGAACGCUGGCGGCGUGCUUAACACAUGCAAGUCGAGCGGUAAGGCCCUUUCGGGGGUACGACGAGCGGCGAACGGGUGAGUAACACGUGGGUGACCUGCCCUCAGCUCUGGGAUAAGCCUGGGAAACUGGGUCGUAAUACCGGAUAUGACCCCAUGACGCAUGUCGUGGGGUGGAAAGCCUUGUGCGGCUGAGGAUGGGCCCGCGGCCUAUCAGCUUGUUGGUGGGGUGAUGGCCUACCAAGGCGACGACGGGUAGCCGGCCUGAGAGGGCGACCGGCCACACUGGGACUGAGACACGGCCCAGACUCCUACGGGAGGCAGCAGUGGGGAAUCUUGCGCAAUGGGCGAAAGCCUGACGCAGCGACGCCGCGUGAGGGAUGACGGCCUGUGU
rnacentral:rRNA from 1 species